rnacentral:rRNA from 1 species
UAUGUUAGCUUGCUAAUAUAUUUAGUAGCAAAUGGGUGAGUAACACGUACCUAACCUACCUUUUGGACUGGGAUAACUAUUGGAAACAGCAGCUAAUACCGGAUAAAAUAAAAAAAUGCAUGUUUUUUUAUUAAAAGGAGCCUUUAAAGCUCCACCAAAAAAUGGGGGUGCGCAACAUUAGUUAGUUGGUAGGGUAAAGGCCUACCAAGACGAUGAUGUUUAGCGGGGCCAAGAGGCUGUACCGCCACACUGGGAUUGAGAUACGGCCCAGACUCCUACGGGAGGCAGCAGUAAGGAAUAUUCCACAAUGAGCGAAAGCUUGAUGGAGCGACACAGAGUGCAG